GAUUGCUUUCUUUGAGAGCGGAGAAACCGCUCGAGCGCUGGCUUCUGACAAGCCAGGGAAUGGAUCCCUGUUCAGCCGCUAGCCAUGUGACCCUGACCAAGUCACUUCCUCUCUCUGAGCCUCACUUUUCUUCUCUAGAAAAGGAGAUAAAUAAUCCUCACCCCCUGAGGGGCACUGAAAGGAUGACAUAAAACGACGCGCUUUAAGGCAAAGCUUAGCGCCUCGCCCGGCUCCAGGGGGUUCUUCCAAUCUCGGCCUGCUCGCAGCAGAUCGGGCACCUGACCUUGAGCAGCUCCAUAACCGGCUUCAUCAAAGGUUCCAACCAGGCUCCUCUUAAACGUGAUGGACGCUCUUCCCACUGAGGGUCGGGGGUCCACAGAGAGUAAGCAAGGCUCCUAACGAGCAGCCAGCAAGAGCUAACCGGCGUAGGAGCGAAUGAGCCUUCCGAUGAUUCCAGCCCCUAGCCUUUGAGUCCUUCGGCUGAUGUCCCAGACGUGGUGGAACAGGAAGCAGGCAUCUCCGUGCUGCCCUCUCCAGAGUUCUGACCCACGGGAUCCGCGAGCGUAACAAACGCCAGCGUGAACAAGUAGGGGCAGAGCAGCAGAAGAAGCGGUCAAACUCACAGAGGAAGCAGGUGGCAGAGAUGGGCCAGGACUUGCAUAGGCCGAGUCCUCAAAGAAGAGCCUCUAACGGGAAGGCUUGUCUGUUAGACGGAUGAGGAAACUGAG